rnacentral:rRNA from 1 species
GAGGAAUAUUGGGCAAUGGGCGAAAGCCUGACCCAGCCACGCCGCGUGAGUGAUGAAGGCCUUCGGGUUGUAAAGCUCUGUGGGGAGGGAAGAAAAAGCGGGAGAGUAACUGCUCUCGUGUUGACGGUACCUCCUUAGCAAGCACCGGCUAACUCUGUGCCAGCAGCCGCGGUAAUACAGAGGGUGCAAACGUUGCUCGGAAUUACUGGGCGUAAAGCGCGUGUAGGCUGACAUGCAAGUCGGGUGUGAAAUCCCAGGGCUCAACCUUGGAACUGCACUCGAAACUGCACGUCUUGAGUACUGGAGAGGGAAGCGGAAUUCCGGGUGUAGAGGUGAAAUUCGUAGAUAUCCGGAGGAACACCAGUGGCGAAGGCGGCUUCCUGGACAGUAACUGACGCUGAGACGCGAAAGCGUGGGGAGCAAAC